UUCCAGCUAACGCCAUUUUAUCUAAAUAUAGUAACCAACCGGAAGGCAGCAGGCAUCCAUGUUAUCACGUUUGUGAAAGAAGACCGUAGCUUAGGGUAGAGGUCUGAAAUUAAAAUUAACAGUUUACAAGAGUGAAAUAUCAACAAAAAGAUUAUCCAUAUUAAGGUGCUGUACUGGAGGGAUAAGGAAAGAAAAGAAAGUGACGUUUAUGAUUUGACUGAAAGGGAGAUUAACACAGACAUAAAAGAGGGCUUUCUAUUUAUCAAAGACACAACCAAAUUUGACCACUGUUACGCAGCUUCUUGACCACAUUUUCAGUCAGUGUGGAUUGCCACGCUAUACUGAACAGGUCAGACAACAAUUAAAAUACAACUUAUAGAUACCACAAUUUGAGAAAAUGACUAUA